UACUACAAAAAUAGGAAAGUUGCAUAGAAUUGUCCUUUUUGAGACUGAAGUUAGACAGAUAACCAAUAAUAUGACACUAUUGGCAGAUCAAAGACUUGGAAAGACAUCAGAAAUAAUAACCUUAAAAAGUGAUUUAGGCUUGCUUCCUCCGGCUGUUCCCAGAAAAGGAAAUUUUCCAAGAAGUGAACUUUUGAUGCUUAGUAAUUAUCAAAAACUCAUUAUUCUCUAUUCAAU